UGGAAUGGAAUGGGAUGGGAUAUUGUCAGAGAAUAUGACACAUAGCAAAGGUAAUAUUCAAAGUCAUCUGACAAGCAUUGGGCAGGAUGAUGUCCAACAUUAAUGCUCUGCUACUCAUCUAGCCACUGACCCUGGUCACUCAAUAUUCAAGACUUAAUGAAUGGAAAGUGGAAGAUGCAUUUUGCCUUCCUUUUGCUUUUGAGGUGAGACUCCGAGUUCUCAAAGAAAAUCAAGGCAUAUGGCUGGGCAUCUCUUUUAGCAUCCUUGAACAGUCUGUAAUGGCCCAAAUGUACUUCAAGAAUGCAGCAAUUGAAAACAAGUCACCCGGAGCACACAGACUAGAGUCUCUGUGGGCCACCAUGCAUGAGGACAUUCAAGCAGCCUUAUGGAGCAGUUUACAUGGAGAAAAACUAAGGCCUCCUGCCAACAGCCAGCACCAACUGGCCAUAUAAAUGAACUACCUUGAUCAUGAAUGCAGACUCUCUAAAGCCUUUACAUGGAUGCAACCUCAUGAGAGACCCCUGUCCAGAAGAACACAAUUAAGCUCCUGAAUUCCUGACCCACAGAAGAGCUGUGAGAUACUAAAUGCCUAUUGUUGUUUUAAGCCACUAAAUUUUGAGGUAAUUUAUUAUGUGGUAAUAGAUAACUAAGACAUGAGUAUACACUAACCCUAAAAUAAUCUCAAAAUCCCUUCAUGUUGUCCAGGUAGUACCAUUAAAUGUGACCUGCAUGUUC
rnacentral:lncRNA from 1 species